UACGUAGGUGGCAAGCGUUAUCCGGAUUUACUGGGUGUAAAGGGUGUGUAGGCGGGAUUGCAAGUCAGAUGUGAAAACUAUGGGCCUAACCCAUAGCCUGCAUUUGAAACUGCAGUUCUUGAGAGUCGGAGAGGUAAAUGGAUUUCCCGGUGUAGCGGUGAAAUGCAUAGAUAUCGGGAGGAACACCAGUGGCGAAGGCGAUUUACUGGACGACAACUGACGCUGAGACACGAAAGUGUGGGGAGCAAAC
rnacentral:rRNA from 1 species